UUGUGAGGCUUCUUUAAAUUGGUAGUAGAGAUAUGGCAGAUUCCAAAUUUCCAAUACAUUCAUCAUUUGUUAUUCUCAUUAACAAUUUGUAGGAAAUUUAUUUUGCUGAUUGCCUUGGAAAUUUGUUCUGAGAAUGACAUGUUUGAAAAUAAGCAGCAUAACAGCCGGCAUCUUUCUUCCUAUGCGUGGUUUAGAGUAACAGCUAGUUUAACCAAAGAUAUUUCUCUUGCUAUUUAAAAAAGUAUAGCUUAGGGGCUGCUAAUAUGACAUGAAUAUUUUUCUCAUUUUGUUGGUAAUUAGUGAAAUUAUCUCCUUGACUUUCAUGUGCAGAUGCGGAUUCAUGAAUUUUGCAAA
rnacentral:misc_RNA from 1 species